CAAAGAGGGAGAGAGGAAAGAGGGGAACGUGAGGAGAAAGUACAAGGUCAGGAAGAACCAGCCUGACUUCACUGCCUGCACUCCAGACCUUUGGCCAGCUGAAGACAUUUGGAGCAUCAUGAAACCAAAAACAUGACAGAGAAGACCCAGGACUGCUGAGCAGCUAGAAUCCUCUAACAGACAAGAACAGGACGACAUUCCUUUUCCCAAACAGUUUCCUGCUUCCAGAGAAAUAAAAGCUGCAUGCAACUGUGAUGUUUCCUCCUUCCUCUGCUCUGUGGGUGAGAGUUUGUGCUUUGACCAAACCAGUGUUUCCAUCCUGAAGUGCUGCUGAAAGGAUGAACAAUCAUCAGUUACAAUCUUACAAUAGAUUAAAUGUGACAGUCGGGGUGAGUGAUGCGAUCCUCCUACAAGGCAGAUAAAUCCCCGCAGUCUGAGUGUGU